rnacentral:snRNA from 1 species
ACCACUUCUCGGCCUUUUGGCUAAGAUCAAGUGUAGAAAUGUGCAGACACAAGUAAAUAUUAUGUUUGAUGUAAGUAUGAGUCUCUUACUCCAUCCUCUGGAAUCUUGAAUUUUGUAAUCCAAAAUAAUUAUCUCUC